rnacentral:rRNA from 1 species
GAUGAACGCUGGCGGCGUGCCUAAUACAUGCAGGUCGAGCGAACAGAUAAGGAGCUUGCUCCUUUGACGUUAGCGGCGGACGGGUGAGUAACACGUGGAUAACCUACCUAUAAGACUGGGAUAACUUCGGGAAACCGGAGCUAAUACCGGAUAACAUAUUGAACCGCAUGGUUCAAUAGUGAAAGGCGGCUUUGCUGUCACUUAUAGAUGGAUCCGCGCCGUAUUAGCUAGUUGGUAAGGUAACGGCUUACCAAGGCAACGAUACGUAGCCGACCUGAGAGGGUGAUCGGCCACACUGGAACUGAGACACGGUCCAGACUCCUACGGGAGGCAGCAGUAGGGAAUCUUCCGCAAUGGGCGAAAGCCUGACGGAGCAACGCCGCGUGAGUGAUGAAGGUCUUCGGAUCGUAAAACUCUGUUAUCAGGGAAGAACAAAUGUGUAAGUAACUGUGCACAUCUUGACGGUACCUGAUCAGAAAGCCACGGCUAACUACGUG